ensembl:lncRNA
UCCUCUGUCUCCAUCUCAGAUCAGUCCUCCCUCCCUCCUCUGGCUCCGUCUCAUAUCAGUCCUCCCUCCAUCCUCUGGCUCCGUCUCAGAUCAGUCCUCCCUCCCUCCUCUGGCUCCGUCUCAUAUCAGUCCUCCCUCCUCUGACUCCGUCUCAGAUCAGUCCUCCCUCCCUCCUCUGGCUCCGUCUCAGAUCAGUCCUCCCUCCUCUGACUCCGUCUCAGAUCAGUCCUCCCUCCUCUGGCUCCGUCUCAUAUCAUUCCUCCCUCCUCUGGCUCCGUCUCAUAUCAGUCCUCCCUCCUCUGACUCCGUCUCAGGUCAGUCCACCAUCCCUCCUCUGGCUCGGUCUCAUAUCAGUCCUCCCUCCUCCGGCUCCGUCUCAGAUCAGUCCUCCCUCCUCUGGCUCCGUCUCAUAUCAGUCCUCACUCCUCUGGCUCCGUCUCAGAUCAGUCCUCCCUUCUCUGGCUCCAUCUCAGAUCAGUCCUCCCUCCCUCCUCUGGCUCCGUCUCAUAUCAGUCCUCCCUCCAUCCUCUGGCUCCGUCUCAGAUCAAUCAGUCCUCCCUCCUCUGGCUCCGUCUCAUAUCAGUCCUCCCUCCCUCCUCUGGCUCUGUCUCAGAUCAGUCCUCCAUCCUCUGGCUCCGUCUCAAAUCAG